rnacentral:rRNA from 1 species
CCUACGGGUGGCAGCAGUGAGGAAUAUUGGUCAAUGGGCGCGAGCCUGAACCAGCCAAGUAGCGUGAAGGAUGACUGCCCUAUGGGUUUUAAACUUCUUUUAUAUGGGAAUAAAAUAUUUCAUGUAUACGCUUUUGAAUGUACCUUAUGAAUAAGGAUCGGCUAACUCCGUGCCAGCAGCCGCGGUAAUACGGAGGAUUCGAGCGUUAUCCGGAUUUAUUGGGUUUAAAGGGAGCGUAGGUGGGUUGUUAAGUCAGUUGUGAAAGUUUGCGGCUCAACCGUAAAAUUGCAGUUGAAACUGGCAGGCUUGAGUACAGUAGAGGUGGGCGGAAUUCGUGGUGUAGCGGUGAAAUGCUUAGAUAUCACGAAGAACUCCGAUUGCGAAGGCAGCCCACUGGACUGUAACUGACGCUGAGGCUCGAAAGUGUGGGUAUCAAACAGGAUUAGAUACCCGAGUAGUC